GUGUAACAGACGCUGGGAUGUCUACAUGCUGACAUGCAAAUUCCUGUGGGUUGCAUGUGGCUGGGAGAGAGUUCAUUGCCUCUGCUCAGUGAUUCACUACAGAAUCCCUCUGAUUUGCCUGCUGGAAAAGCAGAAGAGCUGGUGAAGUAUUCAGCAUGCUCUGAAUUAUUCAGUGUGACAGAUCAACUGAAAGAGGUGGUGGAUUACAAUCUUUGUAUGAAGAAAUGCAGCUUUGGUAGAUGCUAUCUACAAAAAACAACAACAACAACAAAACUAUUCAUACAAAAUAUGCACUGAAAACAAAGUGAACCAGUUGUGAAUAUUAAUGACAAUGAUGGCCUCCCAGGGUACCCCUGACCAAGGCCUACAUGUUGACAUCAUUGUGUUGCAUAAAGAAAAAUUUUCUAGGGAGAUGCAAGCCUAGAUUUUCACAUAUAAUAAUAUGGCAUGGAUCUAAUAAAUUACCUGGAACUGGGUACUCAAUUCUGCUCUUCGACCAGCAAAGGAUGUUACAGUGCUAUGCAUUUGCAGGUCUUAGCUGGAGUCUGCAGAGACAGACAAAAGUGCCAACAUACAAAACAACAACAAAACAACAAUAAUAAUAAUAAUAAACAACUGCUAUUUCUGAACUGCCUGAAAUUUGGAAGAACUGUAAGUCUUGUGAGACUUGUCUCAGAAGGCUUAUCUGCCACAACAAAAAGAAAAAGGAGGCAAGGCACUAUUAUGGUCAAAUGCCAUAAAAACAUCAAUAAUAAGAGGUUUUUCAGUGCUAUUUGACAUUUCUUGGUACCUGCACCCUGAGGCUAACAACUCACAGUACAGAGACAUUUGGUCUAUGUUAAUUUAAGAAAAGCAGCUACCAAGGUGCUUUCGUAUCUCUACUUUGUGCUCUGAAGUUCUCUCAGAAGCAAUCUGAAGAGAUUAGAAAUCAUACACAUGGAUGCUGGAACAUGUUUGGUUUGUCACUUUUGUAUCUACUGUAAUAACUAGAACUUGGAAAAGGUUAUUAAUUUUUGGGGGGCUGGCAUGCCUCUUUGUCUCUGAAACAAUUUAUGUUAACCUGAGAUGACAGAAUAGUUUUAGCAGCUUCCUAGAAGCUGUCAUAACUAUUACAUUCUCCAAAAUUCGAUAAAUCAAUGCCUUUUAUUUUUGCAAGAAAACUGUCUGCCUCGUCUGUUCUUCUGUAAAUCUUGAGCUGCCAUUUUUCAUUUGCCUUUCGUGGCUGGUAUUACAAAAUUGCUUAUUAAAAUGAUUUCAGAAAUAAAUUUCUAUAAUAAAUUCUAGAGUAUAAUCACUAAAAGUAUUGGCAUGGAUAUGGAUUUUGUUGUUGUUGUUGUCCAUCCAUGUCUUCCCUUCUAAAGUUCAAUAAAGUGUUGACCUUUUCUACUUCAAAAGACAAAUCCUGUUUUAUUAUGUACCUUGUAUCUCAGUAUCUUGUUGACUAUAGUACAUUAUGAAUUUUACUGGUUAACAUAGUUCCUCCUAUCAAGAACUGGCUAUACCUUACUACAGUUCAUUGAAAUGUCUGACUGCUUUGGAAUAGAGUAAAAAUCUCUUGACAGAUGUCCUGACAAAGCAAUAAUGAAAAGGUCAUACUACUUUUCCUGCAGCAUUUAUCUUGUUUCUUUAGUGGCUGUGUACCAUAAACUAGAUCCAAUUAUAUCUAAUUAGAAACAGCAAGUUCCAUAAUAGAAGUUAAAAAGCCAUUAAACGCUUGUAUUAAAAUUAUCACACAUUAUAUUUCAAAAUUCUAAAACUGUUAAAUGGCAUCUCAUCAACAUUACUAUUCAGAUCCAGUCUAAAAUCUUUUUACCUUUUCUAAAGAUCAAGGUCACAGAGCUCAGCAGUUCUUGUUUUAUGGGGCCUUGGGGCCAUUUUGAACUAUUACUACUUCGAGAAUUGUUGAUUAUGAUUGAAUACUGGAAUAAAAGUACAUCAUAGACAUUCUGAGCAAGUCUUCCAUGACAACAUUAUCAACGUAUGGAAUAACAAAUGCCUGAUAUUCAGUGACAAUUAUGACAAUGCUUACUUGUCAAUUUUUGUCACCCUUUGAUAAGACACAAAUUAAUAAAGACUAAGUCUAAAAAUAUUGCAUAUUUGAGUAUGUACACCAAUUAUGUUUCCUUUGUUCUGAUUUUGAAAAGCAUAGUAAAAAUAACUGAUGAUGCUAAAGAAAAUAUUUGCUGUAUUAAUAUACAAUAAUAAUUUAGAAGAGUUUGGAACAGGCUAUUUUGAAAAGCCACAGAAUUUCACAGAGGUCUUUCAGCUGAAUUUGAAUUUUAUUAGACCUAUACAUUGUUACAUUGCUGAUGGCAUGAUCACUGUUACGGCACCAGUAAAAUAAGGUACUUUAAUUUUGUGGCAGCUUUUUCACUGCUUUAAAAUGACUUACUGUGCUCCAUCAGAUUUUUUAUGCAUAAACAAUAUCAACAAUAAACUUUGUUACAUUCCAGCUAGCUCCAUAUUUUCAAAUUUUUAAUUUGAAAAAUGGGUCCAAAGUCAAGCAGGAGUUAUGUCACUAAGGUUGUUUCAGUAACACUCACUUCUACUUGGGAAGCAUAUGGAUUCUGAUUAGUACAUUUGAAGAAGACUGGUGUACAGUAAGUCUCAUUUUGCCUCAGCAUUUUGUAACAAGAAGAGAUUAGCCAGGUCACUAUAUUUUUAAGCCUUAAUUCCACAGUUUCAAAAACCAGAUCAAAAUGUAACUUCGGUAAUUAUUUAACUAAAUGCUUAUUUUUUUUCUCUCUGUUUUGUCUUUGAGCGAUUCAUGUGUGAUAUACCCAAGUGGAUAUAACUAACAGAAGUACUUUCUAAGCUUAUCUGGCUUAAAAUAAAAAAUAAAUAAAAAAGAGAUUCUUUUUGUUACUGAAAAAAGUAACAAAAAAAUUUUUUGUUACUGAACUUGAUGUUCAUUAGGAAUCUGUAUAGAGUGGGACAGUACUAUUCUUAAUAAAAAUUAAGCUAGUGAAAAGAAAGUGAAAUAAAUGCAACUUUCUAACAGUUC